rnacentral:rRNA from 1 species
UGGGGAAUUUUGGACAAUGUGGGCAACCCUGAUCCAGCAAUGCCGCGUGUGUGAAGAAGGCCUUCGGGUUGUAAAGUACUCUUGUCCGGGAAGAAAUCGCACCUGAUAAUACUGGGUGUGGAUGACGGUACUGGAAGAAUAAGGACCGGCUAACUACGUUCCAGCAGCCGUGGUAAUACGUAGGGCCCAAGCGUUAAUCGUCAUUACUGGGCGUACAGCGUGCGUAGGCCGUUGUGCAAGACCGAUGUGAAAUCCCCGGGCUUAACUUGGGAAUUGCAUGGGUGAUAGCACGGAUAGCGUGUGUGAGAGGAUGGUAGAAUUCCACGUGUAGCAGUGAGAUGCGUAGAGAUAUGGAGGAAUACAGAUGGCGAAGGCAGCCCCCUGAGAUAACACUGACGCUCAUGCACGAAAGCGUGGGGAGCAAACAGA